rnacentral:lncRNA from 1 species
UGACUUCCUGAGGUCCCUUCCAACCCUAAUUUUCUACGAUUCUAUGUUUUUAACCCAGUGUAACCCUUGGAGCCCAGCAUGAAGUUCAAAACCAUACCUGCACCAAGAGACUGAGCAAACCAUUAUGGAAUCAGUAACAGUAAAUCAAGCGGCUCUCUUCACCAGAAAGCUGCUUUUCAGCCCAGGGCAGAUACUUUAAUGUGAAUGCUCAAACAACACGUGAAUCUUUAGGUUAAAAUCUUCUCAACCAAAUGAAUUCAAACAAACAGAAGAUUCACCAUCCUUCACGCUACAAAGUGGACAAGCAUGCACACAAUCCCAUCUAACCCUUGCAUGGGCCUGUAAUGGACAAAAGUUAAAAAAACACAACCACCGCCACUAGGAAUCAUUUUGCAUUUGUAUGUUUAAACCUGAUCCUCAAUGCUUCAUCGUUUUGCUAUGUCUUUAAUUAGAUUAUGCACUCUUUGGAAGGUGUGUAGGAAUGCAGAGCGCUCUCCAGUUUUCAGCUCGGAUGAUGAGAUUAUGAAACAUCACCUGAAACAUUAUGAAAUUCAAGGAAGCACCUCACGCACAGGUGCCACUUGGGACCCCACAGAGGCCCUGCACCACAAGCGAGAUCCCCCGAGUGGAGAACGGCACUGUGACUGUAGCCGUGUUGGUCUAAGGAUGCAGGCAGGCAAAGCUCUUUGGGUAAAUGCCUGUUGUCUACCUCGGAGAUCUCCGAACAGCAGCAGAGUAAAGGCAUGCGCGCCCGGAAACCGUGACUUAGUGCACCUUCUGCUUCUGGAUCCUCCUCCCAAGUGCCGAACCAGGCCCGCUUUUUGGAGACUGCCAGGCCUGGUGAUGACUGAACAGCAUUUUGGGUCCAUAUCUCACCUGCAAGUCUGAAACAAUUCAACUCACUCACCAUUGUACCGGGGCAAUCUUGGUCUAACCCGAGAGAGAGGCAGGGCUACCAGUUCCCUGCUGCUUUGUGCCCUGAAACGCCUUCCAGAGUUUUCAUCUCAUUACGAAACCCUGGUGCAAGCCACAAAACCAGAGCUCGCUCGACUGAAUCUGCCUGGAAGACACAAAGCAGACGUUACUACGACUUCCUCUUGGUCACGUGCCACCACUGCUGGGUUUCGAGACCCGAUGUGGUUACAUGACUGUGGAUGCUUGUCUGCGCCUACCAGGUAAACCCGCUCACGUGGCUUUCCCUCGGCAUCUCCCAAGGGCUGGCAAGCCGGGCGAGCGGUCUUUCGGAUAUCUCUGUGCUGCCCUCUGCUUCGAUCCCUGCGCAAAGCUAGACUCCCUCUGCAGCGCCAUUCUCCUCUCGGCAAGUAAACACCAUGCAAGUCAUUUUGGUUUCUGUAAACAUGUUUUUCUUCGCAAGCGAGCCGGCUCGGUGUACAUUACACUCCGUGCUGACACGAUCUGGGAUGCCUUACAGCAAAGCUUUCCACUAAUACAAUAAUCUGGCUGCUCCCAAAGGAAGCCAGGUUACAGAAAGAAUUCCAAAAGGCAUCAGGAUUAAAUUCUGGCGGGUUUUUUUCCUUUUUUUGGGGAUGGUGUUUUUGCAAUAUCAGAUAAGGAAAAAUCAUUUGCUGUGCUAAUCACGCAGGCCAUUGGAAUGGACAAGAGAAUCUUUUCCCCUCCGUCUUGCUUCAAAAGGAGGGGAAAAAAACCCCAAAACAAAUUAAUUAGAUGAAACGAGACUUUUGUUGGACUGCUGUAGAUAGCUGAAUAAUUUCUGCUCUCACUCAGAAAUCUUGAGUAAUUCCAGUGCUCUGCACAAAAGCAGAGAAAAGCAGAAUUGGUUGUGAAGAUGCCGUGUUUGCUGAUGAAUUGCUGACAUGCAUUUUUUUUAACUGGAAAACAAGCAGUUCAGGGUAAUCACCUAACAGCA